rnacentral:rRNA from 1 species
AACGAACGCUGGCGGCAGGCCUAACACAUGCAAGUCGAGCGGACCCUUCGGGGUUAGCGGCGGACGGGUGAGUAACGCGUGGGAAUAUGCCCUUCUCUACGGAAUAGUCCUGGGAAACUGGGGGUAAUACCGUAUACGCCCUUUGGGGGAAAGAUUUAUCGGGGAAGGAUUAGCCCGCGUUGGAUUAGGUAGUUGGUGGGGUAAUGGCCUACCAAGCCGACGAUCCAUAGCUGGUUUGAGAGGAUGAUCAGCCACACUGGGACUGAGACACGGCCCAGACUCCUAAGGGAGGAAGCAGUGGGGAAUCUUAGACAAGGGGGGCAACCCUGAGCUAGCCAGGCCGCGUGAGUGAUGAAGGCCUUAGGGUUGUAAAGCUCUUUCAGCUGGGAAGAUAAUGACGGUACCAGCAGAAGAAGCCCCGGCUAACUCCGUG